rnacentral:misc_RNA from 1 species
ACGUACUCCCUCCAUCCAAAAAAAAUGAAUCUAGGACUAGAUGUGACACAUUCUAGUACAAUGAAUUUGAACAGAGAUAUGUAAAGAUUCGUAGUACUAGGAUGUGUCACAUCCAGUACUAGGUUGGUUUUUUAUGGAACGGAGGGAGUAUAUGGGAGAUGGAUUGUUUGUCCAUCAAAGAGACGUCCACUCAUUUCAAC